ACUGAACAAAUUAUAAUAUUUUGUUAGGACGUGUUCAUGAACCUGCACAAGGAGCACGGUAAACCGUUGGUGCAGAGGGUUCUGGACCAACUAGUUGCAGAGAACAAGCUCAAGGAGAAGAUUAACGGCAAACAGAAGUGUUAUGUUGCUAAUCAGGAUAAUUUACCGACCUCUAGUGAAAGUGAGCUGGUAGAGCUGGAUCAAGAAUGUGCAAAACUCACACAAACUCUCUCGAAGAAACAGGAACAAUUGAAAAUAAUGGAAGCAGAAGUUCGUAAACUAAAUAGUGUACUUACAACCCAGGAAGCAGAAACCAAACUCAAACAGAUUGAAACAGAGAAUACAGAAAUGAUGGAAAGGCUGGAAAAGUUAGAGAAUCAAACUGUCCUAGUCUCAGCUGAGGAUAAGGAGAGGAUAAGGAAGACACAUGAGCAGUCCAUUAAUCUCUGGAGGAAAAGGAAACGGAUGUGCAUGGAUGCGCUAGAUUCUAUUCUUGAAUCCUGGCCUAAAUCUAAGAAGGAGCUGUUUGAUGAUAUUGGCUUGGAGACCGAUGAUGCUGCUGGAGUAACAUUUCCUAAGAACUGAACAAGUCCGGAUAUAAAGAUCAUCAAACCAAUCUAAAUUUAUCAUUCACAAUUUAAUGAAUGACUGAACGAGUGUGAGUCCAGUGUCACCGUGUAACAAGAGGCUGUGAGACAAAUAAUUAAUAUUUCAGA
rnacentral:misc_RNA from 1 species